UACGUAGGGUGCGAGCGUUGUCCGGAAUUAUUGGGCGUAAAGAGCUCGUAGGCGGUGUGUCACGUCGGCCGUGAAAACCUGGGGCUUAACUCUGGGCGUGCGGUCGAUACGGGCAUCACUAGAGUUCGGCAGGGGAGACUGGAAUUCCUGGUGUAGCGGUGAAAUGCGCAGAUAUCAGGAGGAACACCGGUGGCGAAGGCGGGUCUCUGGGCCGAUACUGACGCUGAGGAGCGAAAGCAUGGGUA
rnacentral:rRNA from 1 species